rnacentral:sRNA from 1 species
ACUGUGGGUGGUGCCACUCCUGGACGACUGGUCCUGGGUGGUCUAAGAACUCAGACUGCCCCAGCCAUGGGGAGCAGGGCAGGAAGCAGGAUUCCUCCACGGUUUCUGCUUCAGUUCCUGCCCCUAGGUUCAUAAUCUGCAUGACUUCCUCCUGCCUUGGCUUCUCUCGAUGGUAAACUGUGGUUGAGACACAUACGCCAAAUAAACCUUUCCCUCUCCGGGUUGCUUUUGAUCAUGAUUUUCUCCUCAGGAACAGAAAGGAGGCUAAGACAGCCUGUUAGUUUGCUUGGCCUGCAAUAAUGAAGUAGCAGAGACUGCAUGUCUUAGACAAGGGCAAUUCCUUUUCCAUAGUUCUGAAUGGUAGAAGGCAGUACCAACAGGCUGGGCUUCGUAUCUCUCACAUUUCUCGUCUUGUCGUCACACGCUGUUUCUGUUACGAAGGCGCAUGUCACUGGUCAAGACUUUAGUUUCUUGAGAUUGGGCCACUAGCUUGGCUUGGGUGAAAGGAUUUGAACAUCAGGCUUUUCUGUUGGUGUUCCUCUCAACGGGCGUCUUGUAAGCAGUGUGUGGUUCAAAGACCUCUGUCAGAGGCACAGUCCGUCAGGGCUCACACUCGCUCUCUUCCUUGAACGGACUCAUCGCACCAACGAAGAUGGAGCCUCAGUGAGAACUGGGGAAGUAAGAGCUUUGCUUCCCUUGCGCUUGCAUUUGCUUAACAUCUUCACGACAGACCCUGAAUCUCAGCCCGGAGGAUGGAGGACGACUCCUGCGUGUGACUCAACAACGGUUUGGGCUCGAGUAGGAGAAUUGGAGUCUCUGGGAUGUAAGGAAAUUGUGAAUUGAAUCAAGAGGUUAUGCUCCUCCGAGGGAGCUGCAGAACCUCAGGAAGCGAGACGGCACCAAAGCCCAUGGCUUUUUCACAUGAUUUCACAGUUCCAGAUACACAAGUCCUCCCAGACCCGUGCGGCCUUGCUUGUUUCCAUGCCAGACGCAGAGGUAAACAAGCCUUAUGAAGCACAAGUUCCAGCCUCGCAGCCGGACCCACUGCCCUUGGAGACAGUGUUAUGACCUGUGGGCUCUCUCUGGGGGACUCCUUCAUGAACUCCAAAGCUGCUUUGAAUUCAAAGUCAAGAAAACAGCUCUGGGACUGCAGAGACGGCUUGGCUAUUAUGAGCACGUACUGCUCUUGCAGAGACACCAAGGUCGGUUCCAAGGACUCGUGCUGGAUGGCCCACGACUGCAUGUAACUCCAGCUCUUGGAGACCCAGAGCUGCUGGCCUGUGGUGGUAUCUACACUCACAUGUUCAUCCUCACCGCAGCCCCAACAAGGCUUUCAGUAAACCCUGAAAAUAUAGAGAGGCAA